rnacentral:rRNA from 1 species
UACGUAGGGUGCGAGCGUUGUCCGGAAUUACUGGGCGUAAAGAGCUCGUAGGCGGUUUGUCGCGUCGUCUGUGAAAACCAGCAGCUCAACUGCUGGCUUGCAGGCGAUACGGGCAGACUUGAGUACUGCAGGGGAGACUGGAAUUCCUGGUGUAGCGGUGAAAUGCGCAGAUAUCAGGAGGAACACCGGUGGCGAAGGCGGGUCUCUGGGCAGUAACUGACGCUGAGGAACGAAAGCGUGGGGUAGCGAACAGG